UAGACCUGAGGUCAGGCAAGACCACCCG
rnacentral:rRNA from 1 species